rnacentral:rRNA from 1 species
AACGAACGCUGGCGGCAUGCCUAACACAUGCAAGUCGAACGGUGGCUUCGGCCACAGUGGCGCACGGGUGAGUAACACGUGGGAACCUGCCUUUCGGUUCGGGAUAACGUCUGGAAACGGACGCUAACACCGGAUACGCCCUUUUGUCCUGGAGACAGGUUGGGGAAAGUUCACGCCGAGAGAGGGGCCCGCGUCCGAUUAGGUAGUUGGUGAGGUAACGGCUCACCAAGCCGACGAUCGGUAGCUGGUCUGAGAGGAUGAUCAGCCACACUGGGACUGAGACACGGCCCAGACUCCUACGGGAGGCAGCAGUGGGGAAUAUUGGACAAUGGGCGCAAGCCUGAUCCAGCAAUGCCGCGUGAGUGAUGAAGGCCUUAGGGUUGUAAAGCUCUUUCGCACGCGAUGAUGAUGACGGUAGCGUGAGAAGAAGCCCCGGCUAACUUCGUG